rnacentral:rRNA from 1 species
UGCGCAGGCGGAACUUUAAGUCAGUGGUGAAAUCUUGCCGCUUAACGGUAAAAUUGCCAUUGAUACUGAAGUUCUUGAAUAUGGCUGAGGUAGGCGGAAUGUGUUGUGUAGCGGUGAAAUGCAUAGAUAUGACACAGAACGCCGAUUGCGAAGGCAGCUUACUAAGCCAUUAUUGACGCUGAGGCACGAAAGCGUGGGGAGCGAACAGGAUUAGAUACCCUGGUAGUCC